AGCAAAGUGUGGAGAGCUGCUCCCAUUUACAUGGUCCGCCACAUACCUGCCUUUCCCCGCCGGAUGGGUUAGUGCUAGUGAUGAGAUGGCUCAUGACAAGCUCAGAGUCCAAGGUAAAACAGUAUAGGUCUACACAGCAGCACAGAAACUUGAGCCAUUAUCGGAUCUCCACCCAUUGAUGAAUUUAACCCAGGGAACCCAAAGGCAUAUUGCAGGAUGUGAAGAUUAUAGACGAGAUUUGAAGGUACUGUUCUGCUGAGUUUUAUUUUCUUUAUCCAAAUACAUAGGCCAUUCAGUUGUCUUCCCUAAUUUA